rnacentral:rRNA from 1 species
GGGAAGUGAAACAUCUCAGUACCCGUAGGAGAAGAAAACAAUUGUGAUUCCGUGUGUAGUGGCGAGCGAUAGCGGAUGAGGCUAAACCGUGUGCGUGUGAUACCUGGCAGGGGUUGCGUGUGCGGUGUUGUGGGGCGCAAAUGUUGCAGGCUGCCGACUGCAAGCGCAAUUUGCAUGCAUCAGCGGAAGCAUCUGGGAUGGUGCACCGGAGUAGGUG